CGACGUGAGGAACCUGCCUUUCAGAGGGGGACAACAGCUGGAAACGGCUGCUAAUACCGCAUGACACAUAUUUAUCGCAUGGUAGAUAUGUCAAAGAUUUAUCGCUGAGAGAUGGCCUCGCGUCUGAUUAGCUAGUUGGUAGGGUAACGGCCUACCAAGGCGACGAUCAGUAGCCGGCCUGAGAGGGUGAACGGCCACAUUGGGACUGAGACACGGCCCAAACUCCUACGGAAGGCAGCAG
rnacentral:rRNA from 1 species